CCAGGAUUUAGCUAGUGCCUUUGCUCUGCCUUAUCAAUGCUGAUUUUCAUCGUGCAAAGAAUGAAUAUUAACUGGUGGCUGGAAACCUGGUGCUUCCCUUCACCUAAACAGCUUCCCUGUCUCCUUCAUUACACAUAGCACUACCAUGGUAUGGGGUUGACAAAUACCAACAGGAAAAAAAGGAGGCAACAUGUUUAAACAAGCAUUUACUAUCUUGGAAAGGAUGGGAUGAAAGCCUUUUCUUGCAGGACACAGAUUUAGGCAAAAUGUUAAAAUGUUUUCUCUGCACAUUAGAUUAUGCCAACACAUAUAUUGUGAAUAUAGGUCACCCACUCUUAUUUGAUAUUUACUUGGAGAGAUGACGGCUCUCCUCACAUAUGAGGUACUGACCUCAGGUCAGGAGGCACUAUGAAUGUAAAGGGCAGUAUCUCUGUAGUAAAUAAUAUUCCUUCUAUUAGGAAUUGUUUAUUCAGAGUAACAGGAAUAUUUCUGAAUUGUUAUCCUGACUUGAUGCAGGUAUGCCUGCAUGUCAUGAGGACUCUCUGUAGUUCUUGUCACUUAUAGAGUAGAAAUGUCUUACAUAAGAAAUGCGUAUUUUUGUCCAUUUUUUUACUCAUUGCAUCCUGUUUUUCUGCUACAGGAAGCAGUAAAUUGAAGCAAGGGAUUUGUUUUCUGGUACAUCUAUUCCUCUCUAAUCUAGUCAUUCAGGUGACCAGUAACUUCAGGUUUCCUCUGAAAAGAGAUACUGUGACUGGCAGCUGCUGGCACACAGAGGUUCUGAAGCUCUCACGCCGGGUACGUGCAGUGAUCGAGGCACUCCCUCCCUCGGCAGUCCCCAGCUGUCCAGCAGGAUAUCCUCUGCCCCGUUGUAGGUACACCUGUGGCACUGACAGUCACAGUCUGAGCUGGGCUGCAUUUCCUACAUUUGGUAUCACUUCAAAGGACACCAAGACCUUUCAAAAGCUGAGCAAAUCACAGUGCCAGUGGGACAGUAACUAAGCACAUACACAGGCACUUCAGCAUCAGUGACCUUCUUUAGAGCACCUGCAGUGCUUGCUGAACUCAGCAAGACUAAUCUUAAGAUGCUGGGCUACUAAUUCUUGGGAAAAAGCAAAACUCUAUUCUUUUAGGCUUCUAAGACACAGUGCAAGUCUAACAAAUACCUUGCAGAGCUCACUUAGAGGUCAGAAGGUUCAAAUGUUACUGAGGUGAUGCCAUUACUACUGCAGGGACACCCAACUAUCCUUAUUAUUUAUUCAUCACUGCCUUCAACUUUUAUUUCCUCAAAGUAGAUUGGGGUGUCUUCUUUCCUGCUAUACCUUUUUAUUCCUUUGUGAUUUAAUUUUGUUUGCUCAUGCAAAACAUUAGGUCGGUGUUUUUAUCUUUAAAUUUUAUUUCAUUUUAUUUCUUCAUAGUUUGGUUACAGUUUUCCUUAUGAUUUCUCCAGUUACAUACACAUUUCCUUCCUUGCACCUGCUCACAGAUUUGCUUUCCCCCUCAUAUUGACAGCAGUGUUUGUCCUUUUUUGAUAAAUGCAACACUGGAGCCAUAUUCCUUAAAGUCACUGUCUUGAACUACUGGGAAAGUCCUUUUAACAUUCCCACCCAGAAGGACUGGUUAAAUGAUGUGUCUGUGAAUUGGCAUUUGACCACCACAAUACAUUAAUUAGAAAUGCAGUUCUCUUGAAUGUCAAGGGAGACCUACUUUUCCCUUUCCUUUUCUCUUUAAAUGAAUUGCUUGCAGCAAGAAUUUGAUUACUUUUUAAUGGGAUAUGUUGUUGUUGUCAUUGUUUAGAUAACUAAUGCCAGAGUGGGGUGAAAGAAAGGGCCCAGACUCUGGUUGCUUUCAAAGUAUUUUUUUCACUUGACAAACAUCAAAAUACUGUACAUUCACAGAAUGAGAAAAAACAAGUAAUAAAUACAAACACUACAGACGAUUAAUGCUCUUC
ensembl:lncRNA